UCCCCGGUAGCUCAGUUGGUAGAGCGGUCGGCUGUUAACCGAUUGGUCGCAAGUUCGAGUCUUGCCCGGGGAGCCA
rnacentral:tRNA from 1 species